GAAAGUUCUUCUGGGAAGCAUCUGGCUAAUCUUUUUGGAAAGGUUCUGAGGAAAUUCUUAAAGAGGACCUAUUAUGCAAUCCUGGCUACAAUGCUGUAGACGUUCCUGUAAGGGUUCCUGUGGUUUCUAAUGUACAAAGAUGGACAAUUCCUCAGAUGGCCUCAGGAGAAUGCUUUUAGAUCUGCACUGGGCAGAACCCUGGGAUUAAUUAACAAGGCUCUGUGCCAUCUUGGUAAAGAUGGUCCCCCAGGGGACAAGAAGGAAAAACUUCAGCUGCUCUCAAGUCAUUGCCUACGGAGAAAAAGCCAUUGGUUCUACCUUCCCUUCUAAUUUCUAAUUUCUAAUUUAAUUUCGACUUAAAACUCAAACCCUUUGCUGGUGCCUGACUAACUCUCCUAAAUGAAAGAGGAACAAAUGUUGGACAGUAAGGAAGCCUUCUGGUCCCAAGGCCUCAGAAUGGAUUAGGCAUUGGUUAGCCAUUCCUGGGCCAUGGCACGUGGGGGGCCUGGAGACCAGUACUACUGCAGGGGCAGGACCCUGUGGGCAUCAGGAUGCCACCCCCUCACCCUCACUCCAGGACCACCACUCUCUCCAUCAGUUUUUCUUUUCAAUCAAAGAAUAAAUGGCUAUUUUACCCAUCUUAAA